GUCUACAACCAUGCUACACUGAACAUGCCCUAUCUCAUCUGAUCUCAGAAGCUAAGCAGGGUCAGGCCUGGUGAGCACUUGGAUGAGAGGCUACCUGGGAAUAGCAGGUGCUGUGUGUAGACU
rnacentral:rRNA from 1 species